rnacentral:tRNA from 1 species
GGAAGCGUGGCAGAGUCCGGUUUAUCGCGCCGUCCUCGAAAGACGGAAGCCAGCAAUGGUUCGCGGGUUCAAAUCCCGCCGCUUCCUCCA